rnacentral:rRNA from 1 species
AGAGUUUGAUCAUGGCUCAGAAUCAACGCUGGCGGCGUGCCUAACACAUGCAAGUCGAACGAGAAAGUGGAGCAAUCCAUGAGUAAAGUGGCGACCGGGUGAGUAACACGUGACCAAUCUACCCUUGAGUGGGGGAUAACCUCGGGAAACCGGGGCUAAUACCGCAUAAUAUCUCCGGAUCGGAAGAACUGGAGAUCAAAGGAGCAAUUCGCUUAAGGAGGAGGUCGCGGCUGAUUAGCUAGUUGGCGGGGUAAUGGCCCACCAAGGCAAAGAUCGGUAGCCGGCCUGAGAGGGCGCACGGCCACACUGGAACUGAAACACGGUCCAGACUCCUACGGGAGGCAGCAGUGGGGAAUUUUGCGCAAUGGGGGAAACCCUGACGCAGCAACGCCGCGUGGAGGAUGAAGUCCCUUGGGACGUAAACUCCUUUCGACCCGGACGAUAAUGACGGUACGGGUGGAAGAAGCCCCGGCUAACUUCGUGCCAGCAGCCGCGGUA